UACGGGGGGAGCAAGCGUUGUUCGGAUUUACUGGGCGUAAAGGGCGCGUAGGCGGCCAGCACAAGUCAGUUGUGAAAUCUCCGGGCUUAACUCGGAAAGGUCAACUGAUACUGUGCGGCUAGAGUGCAGAAGGGGCAACUGGAAUUCUCGGUGUAGCGGUGAAAUGCGUAGAUAUCAGGAAGAACACCAAUGGCGAAGGCAGCUCUCUGGGACGGUACUGACGCUGAGACGCGAAAGCGUGGGGAGCGAACAGG
rnacentral:rRNA from 1 species